rnacentral:lncRNA from 1 species
GGGUGUCCCCCACACUCAUGCAUCUGUCUCUCCUGCAGCUCAUGGGGCACAGCCUGCACUACCUCCUCUGUCCUGGAGGACCCAGUGCCCAUCCUCCAUGGCUCCAGGAUUGCUAUCUGAGUGUGAGUGCCUGCUGAAUGCACCUGCCAUGAUGCUAUCUGAGUGUGAGUGCCUGCUGAAUGCACCUGCCAUGAUGCUAUCUGAGUGUGAGUGCCUGCUGAAUGUGACCUGCCAUGAUGCUGAGUGCGCAUUUCUGCUGAGAUAGUUAAUUCUUAGGUCCAUUUCAAAGAUCAGGAGCCUGUGACCAAAUGUUCAGUACUUCUGGAAAACACUUCCAUUUAUGCUGUCUCUGAAUUGGCAGCAUUAGGAAUGAAAGAGAGAUAAAUUAGAUCAUCCAA